rnacentral:rRNA from 1 species
CUUGAGUAUGGGAGAGGAAGAUGGAAUCCAGGUGUAGCGGUGGNUGCGUAGAUAUCUGGAAGACACCAGUGNCGAAGGCGUCUUCUGGCCCAAUACNUGACGCUGAGGCUCGAAAGCUAGGGGAGCAACNAGGAUUAGAUACCCUGGUAGUCCUAGCCAUAAACGAUGGACACUAGUUGGUGGAGGGAGUCAAUCUUUUCACUGACGAAGUUAACGCAUUAAGUGUCCCGCCCUGGGGAGUACGCCCGCAAGGGUGAAACUCAAAGGAAUUGACGGGGGCCCGCACAAGCGGUGGAGCAUGUGCUUUAAUUCGAAUGCAACGCGAAGAACCCUUACCCUGGGUUUGACAUNNGGGGNNAUGAAACUUCUUCCAGAGAUGGAGGGAGCCUUCCUUCNGGNGAACAUCCUACACAGGUGCUGCAUGUGUCGUCAGCUCGUGUCGUGAGAUGUUGGGGUUAAGUCCCGCAACGAGCGCAACCUGUCUUAGUGCCAUCAGUAUGCUGGAACUUAGGAGCUGCUGUCACACCAGGAGGAAGUGAGGAUGACGUCAAUCAUCAUGGCUCUACGCCCAGGGCUAGACACGUGUACAAUGGUUGGUACAAUGNG